rnacentral:tRNA from 1 species
GCCAGCUUAGCUCAGGGGUAGAGCAGCGGUUUUGUAAACCGCCGGUCGGGGGUUCAAAUCCCUCAGCUGGCUCCA